rnacentral:rRNA from 1 species
AAACUUUCAACAACGGAUCUCUUGGUUCUGGCAUCGAUGAAGAACGCAGCGAAAUGCGAUAAGUAUAUGUGAAUUGCAGAAUUCAGUGAAUCAUCGAAUCUUUGAACGCACAUUGCGCCCGCCAGUAUUCUGGCGGGCAUGCCUGUUCGAGCGUCAUUU